rnacentral:rRNA from 1 species
UACGAAGGGGGCUAGCGUUGCUCGGAAUCACUGGGCGUAAAGGGUGCGUAGGCGGGUCUUUAAGUCAGGGGUGAAAUUCUGGAGCUCAACUCCAGAACUGCCUUUGAUACUGAAGAUCUUGAGUUCGGGAGAGGUGAGUGGAACUGCGAGUGUAGAGGUGAAAAUUCGUAGAUAUUCGCAAGAACACCAGUGGCGAAGGCGGCUCACUGGCCCGAUACUGACGCUGAGGCACGAAAGCGUGGGGAAGCAAAC